CCCGCCACUAUACCUGUCUUGAAUUCAGUGGCCGGUAUAUUCCAGUGGUGAGCUGAGAGGAAGCCCCAGCCCAGGAAGCAGUUCUCUUCUGGUUGUGGAGAGGCCUGUGCCGAACGGCUGGGAACAAGC